GUCGAGGUGGCAGAGCUCGGUAAUUGCAAAAGACCUAAGCUCUUUUAACAGAGGUUCAACUCCUCUCCUCGACU
rnacentral:tRNA from 1 species